rnacentral:hammerhead_ribozyme from 1 species
AUCCAGUGACGAGUCCCAAAUAGGACGAAAUGCGCGUUUUCCUGGAU